UCCCUGAUGUUAGCGGCGGACGGGUGAGUAACACGUGGGUAACCUGCCUGUAAGACUGGGAUAACUCCGGGAAACCGGGGCUAAUACCGGAUGGUUGUUUGAACCGCAUGGUUCAGACAUAAAAGGUGGCUUCGGCUACCACUUACAGAUGGACCCGCGGCGCAUUAGCUAGUUGGUGAGGUAACGGCUCACCAAGGCGACGAUGCGUAGCCGACCUGAGAGGGUGAUCGGCCACACUGGGACUGAGACACGGCCCAGACUCCUACGGGAGGCAGCAGUAGGGAAUCUUCCGCAAUGGACGAAAGUCUGACGGAGCAACGCCGCGUGAGUGAUGAAGGUUUUCGGAUCGUAAAGCUCUGUUGUUAGGGAAGAACAAGUGCCGUUCAAAUAGGGCGGCACCUUGACGGUACCUAACCAGAAAGCCACGGCUAACUACGUGCCAGCAGCCGCGGUAAUACGUAGGUGGCAAGCGUUGUCCGGAAUUAUUGGGCGUAAAGGGCUCGCAGGCGGUUUCUUAAGUCUGAUGUGAAAGCCCCCGGCUCAACCGGGGAGGGUCAUUGGAAACUGGGGAACUUGAGUGCAGAAGAGGAGAGUGGAAUUCCACGUGUAGCGGUGAAAUGCGUAGAGAUGUGGAGGAACACC
rnacentral:rRNA from 1 species